rnacentral:rRNA from 1 species
AUUGAACGCUGGCGGCAGGCCUAACACAUGCAAGUCGAACGAGUGGCGAACGGGUGAGUAAUGUCUGGGAAACUGCCUGAUGGAGGGGGAUAACUACUGGAAACGGGAGCUAAUACCGCAUACCAUCAGAUGUGCCCAGAUGGGAUAAGCUAGUUGGUGGGGUAACGGCUCACCAAGGCGACGAUCCCUAGCUGGUCUGAGAGGAUGACCAGCCACACUGGAACUGAUGCCCGGGCAGUACUCCUACGGGAGGCAGCAGGGGGGAAUAUUGCACAAUGGGCGCAAGCCUGAUGCAGCCAUGCCGCGUGUAUGAAAAAGUCCUUCGGGUUGUAAAGUACUUUCAGCGGGGAGGCGUUACCCGAAGAAAAAGCACCGGCUAACUCCGUGCCAGCAGCCGCGGUAAUUC